rnacentral:rRNA from 1 species
ACGGGAGGCAGCAGUAGGGAAUCUUCCACAAUGGACGAAAGUCUGAUGGAGCAACGCCGCGUGAGUGAUGAAGGUUUUCGGAUCGUAAAACUCUGUUGUAAGGGAAGAACAAGUACGUUAGGAAAUGAACGUACCUUGACGGUACCUUAUUAGAAAGCCACGGCUAACUACGUGCCAGCAGCCGCGGUAAUACGUAGGUGGCAAGCGUUGUCCGGAUUUAUUGGGCGUAAAGCGCGCGCAGGCGGCUUCUUAAGUCUGAUGUGAAAGCCCACGGCUUAACCGUGGAGGGUCAUUGGAAGCUGGGAGACUUGAGUGCAGAAGAGGAAAGUGGAAUUCCAAGUGUAGCGGUGAAAUGCGUAGAGAUUUGGAGGAACACCAGUGGCGAAGGCGACUUACUGGUCUGCAACUGACGCUGAGGCGCGAAAGCAUGGGGAGCAAACAGGAUUAGAUACCCUGGUA